CCUUGGCCUGUCCUGGCCACGGACCGGCUGUGACUUCUAUUCUCCAGACCCUGAGGAUGCAGGUCGUGAUGCCCCGAACCCUCCUCUUGCUGCUGUCGGGGGCCCUGGCCGUGACCCAGACCUGCGCGGGCUCCCAUUCCUUGAUGUAUUUCGGCACCGCGGUGUCCCGGCCCAGCCUCGGGGAGCCCCGGUACUUGGAAGUCGGCUACGUGGACGACACACAGUUCGCGCGGUUCGACAGCGACGCCUCGAGUCCGAGGAUGGAGCCACGCGUGCAGUGGUUGAAGCAGGAGGCGCCGGAGUAUUGGGAGCAGGAGACGCGGGGCGCCAAGGACACCGCACAGACUUUCCGACAGAGCCUGAACACGCUGCGCGGCUACUACAACCAGAGCGAAGCGGGGUCUCACACCAUCCAGUGGCUGUCUUCCUGCGAAGUGGGGCCCGAUUGGCGCCUCCUCCGAGGAUACUGGCAGUUCGCCUAUGACGGCGAGGAUUACAUCGCCCUGAACGAGGACCUGCGCUCUUGGACCGCGGCGGACACGGCGGCGCAGAUCACCCGCCGCAAGUGGGAGGCUGCCGGAGCAGCCGAGCAUCAAAGGAACGACCUGCAGGUCACGUGCGUAGAGUGGCUCCGGAAGUACUUGGAGAGGGGGAACAAGACACUGCUGCGCACAGACCCCCCGAAGACACACAUCACCCACUACCCCACUUCUGACCAUGAUGUCACCCUGAAGUGCUGGGCCCUGGGUUUCUAUCCUGCGGAGAUCACCCUGACCUGGCAGCGUGAUGGGGAGGACCUGAUCCAGGACACGGAGUUUGUGGACACUAGGCCUGGGGGAGAUGGGACCUUCCAGAAGUGGGUGGCUGUGGUGGUGCCUUCUGGAGAGGAGCAGAGAUACACGUGCCAUGUGCAGCAUGGGGGGUUGCCCAAGCCCCUCAUGCUGAAAUGGGAGUCCCCUCCUCAGCGCAGCAUUCCCAUGGUGGGCAUUGUUGCUGGUCUGGUUUCCUUGGUGGUCAUCAGUGCUGUGGUGGUUGGAGCUGUCAUAUGGAGGAGGUAGAGCCAAGGUGGAAGAGAAAGGAGUUAUGCUCAGUCUGCAUGUAGUGACAGUGCCCAGGGCGCUCUCCACUGCUAAAGGAGGAAAAGGACUGAGCUACUCUCAUGCUGCAUGUGAUGUCAGUGCCCAGGGCUCUGAUGUGUCUCUCACAACUCCUAAAGUGUGAGCCAGCCACCUUGUGGGGGACUAAGUAAUGCAAGGAUUGUGCCCAUUCUUGCUCUUAUUUUGAGCAAUGGGGAACACUUAUAAAUUGUGUGGUUAUGAGAGAUCCAAACACCAAGAGCUCCUGAGGCUUUGGGUUUGUCACAUAUGCCACUGUGGAGAAGGUGGAUGCAGCCAUGAAUGCAAGACCACACAAGUUGGAUGUAAGAGUUGUAGAACCAAAGAGGGCUGUCUCCAGAGAAGAUUCUCAAAGACCUGGUGCUCACUUAACUGUGAAAAAGAUUUUUGUCAGUGGCAUUAAAGAAGAUACUGAAGGACAUCAUGUAAGAGAUUAUUUUGAACAGUAUGGGAAAAUUGAAGUGAUUGAAAUCAUGACUGACCGAGGCAGUGGCAAAAAGAGAGACUUUGCUUUUGUAACGUUUGAUGACCAUGACUCAGUAGACAAGAUUGUCUACAACACCAUACUGCGAAUGGUCACAACUGUGAAGUAAGGAAAGCUCUAUCUAAGCAAGAGAUGGCUGGUGCUUCAUCCAGCAAGGAGAUCGAAGUGGUUCUGGAAACUUUGGUGGUGGUCAUGGAGGUGGUUUUGGUGGGAAUGACAACCUGAUAGUCUGUUAUAGGAUCCAGCUCUUGUCUACACCAGUUUAUACUUACAAAUAAGUGGAGUGGUAUUGUAGGCCGGUGAAGUGACUACUCAAAAUGUCUUUUCCCUGUGUUUGUUCUUACUAGAUUUUAAAGAUCCAGUCUGUGCACUGACAUUUUAUAUUAAUUUUUUAUACUUCCUCAUACUUGGAUAUAUUUCUAAGGAAAGGAUCCCUAACAUUUAUCCAGUUUUUUUUUGUUGUUGUUGUUUAUUUAUUUUUGAAAGAGAGAGAGAGAGAGCGUGCACAAGUGGGGGAGGGGCAGAGAUAGAAGUGGGACAAGGUAUCUGAAUUGGGCUCUGCACUGACAGCAGUGAGCCCGAGGAGGGGCUCAAACCCAUAAGCCAUGAUACCAUGACUUGAGCCAAAGUGGUACACUCAACCAACUGAGCCACCCAGGUGCCCCUAACAUUUAUCAGUUUUUACGUAACACCUCCAAAAAGCUUUUUUUUUUUUUUAAGUCUAGUUUCUUAGUUUAAAGAUAGUUCUACUCAAAUGUGGUCUACAAAUAGCUGAUCAGCAAAUUGUUUAGUAGACUCAAGGGAAUAAUGUAAAUCCUUAUAUUUUGCUUAUAAGGAAACCUUUGUAGAGCUUUCCAGUUUACUCUCACUCUCCAGUUCUCAUGGUGGGCUAGUAACAAAACAUUGUAGACUGGUAUAGACUAGCAUUGGCUCACAGACUACAAGUAGCUUUAGUUUAGAUGGACUUGCAUCCUAGCACUUGUCCUGGUCAGGUAAAUACUAGUUAUUACCAUUAUUUAAAAAAAUUUUUUUUAACGUUUAUUUAUUAUUGAGAGACAGAGAGGCACAGAGCAUGAGCAGGGGAGGGGCCGAGGGAUGGAGAGAUACAGAAUCUGAAGCAGGCUUCACGCUCUGAGUCGUCAGCACAGAGCCCGACGUGGGGCUCAAAUUCACAAACCGCGAGAUCAUGACCUGAGCCAAAGUCGGACGCUUAACUGACUGAGCCACCCAGGCGCCCCAAAUACUAGUUAUUAUUAAGAAGUUAAUGGGGUUCCAUUUUCAGUAAUGUGGUCUUUUUUAAUUGCAGUAUAGUUGACACACAGUGUAACAUUAGUUUCAUGUGUACAACAUAGUGAUUUGACAACUCUAUACGUGAUGCUAUGCUCACCACAAUGUAUAGCUACCAUCUGUUAUCAUACAAUGCUAUAACAAUACCAUUGACUAUAUUCUUUAUGCUGUAGCUUUUACCCCUGUGACUUAAAUAAAAGCCUGUACCUCACAGUUCCCCUUCACCCAUUUUGCCCUUCCCCCACUUACCUCCCCCUGACAACCAUCAAUUUGUUCUCUAUGAGUCUGUUUCUACUUUUGUUUGUGUUUCUUCAUUUGUUCUGUUUUUUAGAUUUCACAGGUAAGUGAAAUCAUAUGGUAUUUUUCUUUUUCUGCCUGACUUAUUUCACUUAACAUAAGUCCAUCCAUGUUGCCAAAAUGACAAGAUUUCACAUUUUUAUGGCUAAGUAAUAUUCCACUGCAUAUAUACUCCACAUCUUCCUUAUUCAUUCAUCCAUUGAUGGACACUUAGGCUGUUUCCAUAUCUUAGCUAUUGUAAAUAAUGCUACAAUAAAUAUAGGAGUGCAUGUA